AUCUCUUUCUCAAGAUCCCUCUUUUGUGAAGCUUUUCAUUGCAAGCUUAAAUCUCCAGAUAUGGUGGUAACAGAACAAACACAGCCAUUGGGUGCAGGUUGUGAUAAAGACCAAAUUCUGCAGAGCUUUGUACACGUGGGUCUGGAUUCUGCAAAACUACUUUGGGAAGCUUUGAAGGCAAGUGCAAAAGAACAAUACUGCUGCUCCCUAGUGCUAUGAUCUGCAAGGAAUGAAGGCCAAGAGAAACAACUUUCAUGAGGUGGGAAAUGGUUUGAAAGGUUUCAGCAACAGUCUUGAGAAUGAUCUGCAGAAGUACAGAAAGGGCUGCUCAGAAGAUGGCAGCUGAGGGGCAGUCUGAUAGAAUGGUGCCUGACAUGGAAAUGCAUACAAAGAAAAUGUGGGCCAUUGAAUUCCUCCAUGCAGAAAAAAAUGGCACCCACUGACAUUCAUUGCUGCUUGAUGAAUGUUUAUAGAGACUGAAAAUGGAUAUGAGCACAGUGAGGCAGUGGGUGCUGUUUCAACAGUGGUGACAGUGGGUCACCUUUGCUGGUACAGAUUUUGACAAGCACAGCAUGGAGACUCUUGUUCAUUGCUGGCAAAAAUGCAUAGUUAAUGGUGGUGACUGUUGAAAAAUAGUGAUGUGUAACUGAGAAAUUGGUGUAUCCAUUAAUGUUCUCUUUGUAUCUGUUGUAUACCUACAUAUAAUAACAAACUAUAGUGGAGAUACAACUUCCAAGUACAUCCCAAGCACAUUUUUUUCUGUUUGAAAACUGAAUAGAUUGUCUAACAUACAUUUUUGUCUCUAAAAUAGCAUUUUAGCUUGCCAGAAUAGUCAUGCUUCUUACAAACCUUUUCCGGUGUAAAACAGAACUGAAAUCUUCAUGGAAACAAUCUUAAAUAAAAUACCAUUCUGAAAUACUUCAUUCGCUC
ensembl:lncRNA